CUGCCUGCCCAGUGACCAAAAAGUUAAACGGCCGCGGUAUCUUGACCGUGCGAAGGUAGCAUAAUCACUUGUCUCCUAAAUAGAGACUGGUAUGAAUGGCAAGACGGAGCUUUACUGUCUCCUCCUCUUUAAUCUGAAAUUCACAACCCCGUGAAGAGGCGGGGAUUCGUUCGUAAGACGAGAAGACCCUGUCGAGCUGCAGUAAAACUUUAACUAUUAUUUACCUCUAGUCUCACCUAAUGUAAUAGAAUUAGUGGAUACCGAGGCAUAACAAAUUAAAAUAAACUUUGAUUGGGGCAAUCCCGGAGAAAGAAAAUCCUCCGUUACUAUAUCGGUUUUAUUUAACCUAAUUUAAAAGAACUAUCAUUCUGAAAUCAUAAAAUGAAGAUGUGAUCCACUUAUAGUGAUCAAAAGAACAAGUUACCGCAGGGAUAACAGCGUUAUCUUUUCUGAGAGUUCAUAUUGACGAAAAGGUUUGCGACCUCGAUGUUGGAUCGGGACAUCCUAAGGGUGCAGAAGCUUUUAAGGGUUGGUCUGU
rnacentral:rRNA from 1 species